rnacentral:lncRNA from 1 species
UCUAGUCACCAUACAUUUGCUAAUAUUUUAGUCAACAAGUUGCACAAUGGUUGGUGCUUAAAUAGUAGAUCCUUGGCCCUUAGCAUCGUGGAGGAAAAACCGGAUUAUUUGAGGAGGUGAAGUGAACAAAACAUUAUUUAUCAUGGAAUUGAUUAAAAAUAUUGUUAAGCUACGGGGUAUAUCUGAAUUUGGUGGAAUGGAUGAAAGUAUACUGGAAAGAUACGAGUUUUGCAUGGAAAUGAAAGAAUGUUGAAUGAUUAAUGAAGAACAUAGAGCAGAAUCAAUGCCAAAAAAAAGUUCAGAAUCAGAAGUGGCCUUAGUUUACAGUCGUAUCAAUGAAUAGUACGGAAGACAUAUUAGAGUUGGUUUGCCGAGAUAUUCUCAGAUCAGUAGAAAGGCUUGAAGUGACACAUGCUCAGGGUCAGGUACAGUAAGGUUGACCCUUGAAAAUAGGACUAGAGAAAAAGUGCAAGAGCUGCAGGUACUCAUGUAAGCGAGACAUAUAAUAAGUUGAUUUUAUAUACAUAUGGACCAAGUUCAGGGCAUUUCAUAGGUUUCUCCGACCAAGUUCAGAUUCUGCAGCAUGUUAAGCAUGCUAUAAUCAAGUUGCAUUUUAACUCAACUUUAAGAAUUUACUAAUGUGUAUCUAUGAGGGUUUACUAA